rnacentral:rRNA from 1 species
GACGUAGGAGGCGAGCGUUGUCCGGAUUCAUUGGGCGUAAAGAGCACGCAGGCGGUUUGGCAAGUCGGACGUGAAAAUCCGGGGCUCAACCCCGGACCUGCAUCCGAAACUGCCCGACUAGAGGUAGGUAGGGGAGAUCGGAAUUCCUGGUGUAGCGGUGAAAUGCGCAGAUAUCAGGAGGAACACCGGUGGCGAAGGCGGAUCUCUGGGCCUUACCUGACGCUGAGGUGCGAAAGCGUGGGGAGCGAACCGG